GUAGUAAUAAUACAUUCGUAAGCGGGUUAACUGUGUAAUAAUAAUUGCGAAUACGCUAGUAAUUCCGUAUACCUUACACGUAUAACACAAAUAACGGAUGUCGGUGUAAAUCUGUGAUCAAAUAGACGCGAAAACUAUAGCGGACCAAUCGGUAACGCGUGUUUUACGGGCGGGUGUUCUCGCGCUAUCGGAAUCUCCGUGCCGACCCGGUAAAAAACGGGUUUCGGGCUUAAACGUAUU